rnacentral:rRNA from 1 species
CCUACGGGUGGCAGCAGUGGGGAAUAUUGGACAAUGGGCGAAAGCCUGAUCCAGCCAUGCCGCGUGUGUGAAGAAGGCCUUCGGGUUGUAAAGCACUUUCAGUGGGGAAGAAAGCCUUGGGGCUAAUACCCUCGAGGAAGGACAUCACCCACAGAAGAAGCACCGGCUAACUCCGUGCCAGCAGCCGCGGUAAUACGGAGGGUGCGAGCGUUAAUCGGAAUUACUGGGCGUAAAGCGCGCGUAGGCGGUCUGAUAAGCCGGUUGUGAAAGCCCCGGGCUCAACCUGGGAACGGCAUCCGGAACUGUCAGGCUAGAGUGCAGGAGAGGAAGGUAGAAUUCCCGGUGUAGCGGUGAAAUGCGUAGAGAGCGGGAGGAAUACCAGUGGCGAAGGCGGCCUUCUGGACUGACACUGACGCUGAGGUGCGAAAGCGUGGGUAGCAAACAGGAUUAGAUCCCCCAGUAGUC